rnacentral:misc_RNA from 1 species
AGUCACGAGUAGAUGGAGAGACAUUCUUCCAUGUGUAACCAUUAGCAUUCUGUCGCUCCCUAAAGGUGCCCAUGAUAUGGGUUGAGAUAGCAUGACCAUUAGGAAUGAACCUAAACAGAAAAAUACUAAAAAAUAACAUUUUCCAUCAUGUUUAAAACUGAAUCUCUUGGAUUGUUUAUGUUAAGAAAUAAGAUAUCUAAUGUAAAAUAAUGUUACUUACUUUCCCCUUACAACUUUGAUCAUAAUCCGAUUAGAUGGGCAUGAGCCAGGAGCAGAACCAAUAGAAGCAUCUGGAGUACUAGGAAAUGAUGCUGGCGAAUUAUUCAUAUGUCCAAGUGGAAAGCUAGGAAGACCACCUUCAUCUGUCAUUUGUAUAAAAAACAUGUUUCUUUCUCAACUCACAUCGAACACAAAUCAUUAAUAAUUAAUAUCAUAUACAAUAAUCAUUGUAUUUUAACUUACUAAAUUAAUAGUCAUUACAUCGAAAUUGUAAAUGAAAAACAACUAAGCAAGAAAUUAUAUUAUCAUCAUCAUCAUCAUCAU